AAGCACACAUAGAGCAGACCUGAGCUCAGCCUGCAGCCUAAAGCAAAGCUGCCAAGUCAAGCCCAUCCUAGAGCAAUCUGGUCUCAGCCAAACCCGUCACCCUGGCUGCAGUGUGGAGGACAGAUAGUAAGGUGCCAAGACUGAAAGCAGGAAGCUGCAAAACCCAGUCUAGAGCGGGGGACUGGAAGAACUGGGCCAGGAAAGCUACCUACCACAUAAUGGACAAGGUUACAUAGUCAGACAAAGCCCCCAAGGUAAGUGUGUUAUUGUGUAACAUAAGGCCAUGAGUGCAUUUUAGAA